GACGAACGCUGGCGGCGUGCUUAACACAUGCAAGUCGUACGGUAAGGCCCUUUCGGGGGUACACGAGUGGCGAACGGGUGAGUAACACGUGAGUAACCUGCCCACAACUUUGGGAUAACGCUAGGAAACUGGUGCUAAUACUGGAUAUGUGCUCCUGCUGCAUGGUGGGGGUUGGAAAGCUCCGGCGGUUGUGGAUGGACUCGCGGCCUAUCAGCUUGUUGGUGGGGUAGAGGCCUACCAAGGCGGCGGCGGGUAGCCGGCCUGAGAGGGUGACCGGCCACAUUGGGACUGAGAUACGGCCCAGACUCCUACGGGAGGCAGCAGUGGGGAAUAUUGCACAAUGGGCGCAAGCCUGAUGCAGCAACGCCGCGUGCGGGAUGACGGCCUUCGGGUUGUAAACCGCUUUCAGCAGGGACGAAGCUUUUUGUGACGGUACCUGCAGAAGAAGCACCGGCUAACUACGUG
rnacentral:rRNA from 1 species